rnacentral:rRNA from 1 species
UGCAAGUCGAGCGAUCUUCUUCGGAAGAGAGCGGCGGACGGGUGAGUAACGCGUGGGUAACCUGCCCUAUACACACGGAUAACAUACCGAAAGGUAUGCUAAUACGAGAUGAUAUAAGAAAUUCGCAUGUUUUUCUUAUCAAAGCUUUUGCGGUAUAGGAUGGACCCGCGUCUGAUUAGCUAGUUGGUAAGGUAAUGGCUUACCAAGGCGACGAUCAGUAGCCGACCUGAGAGGGUGAUCGGCCACAUUGGAACUGAGACACGGUCCAAACUCC